rnacentral:rRNA from 1 species
AGUCCCGCAACGAGCGCAACCCUUGUCAUUAGUUGCUACGAAAGGGCACUCUAAUGAGACUGCCGGUGACAAACCGGAGGAAGGUGGGGAUGACGUCAAGUCCUCAUGGCCCUUAUGGGUAGGGCUUCACACGUCAUACAAUGGUCGGGACAAAGGGUCGCCAACCCGCGAGGGGGAGCCAAUCCCAGAAACCCGAUCGUAGUCCGGAUCGCAGUCUGCAACUCGACUGCGUGAAGUCGGAAUCGCUAGUAAUCGCGGAUCAGCAUGUCGCGGUGAAUACGUUCCCGGGUCUUGUACACACCGCCCGUCACACCAUGGGAGU